rnacentral:lncRNA from 1 species
AUGGGGCGGAGGAGGAAGACGCUGCACGACUACGCGGCCGAGUUCUCGGAGCUGUCGGUGCGGCGGGAGCCGGCGGGGCCGGGCCCGGGCCCGGCGGGCGCCGUGGAGACGCUGUUGUGCACGCCGUGCCAGCUGCCGCUGAGGGUGCGCCGCGACCGCAUCCUGGAGCACCUCAGCUCGGGCCGCCACUGCCGCAACCGCCGCCUGCUCCGGCAGCUGGGGCUGCGCGCCCCGGGGCUCCGCUCUGCAGAUCCCGACUCCAGCCUGAGCCUGAGCCUGCCCCUGCCACUCGACGUGCCCUCCCUGCUCUCCCAUCCGUCCUUCCUCAUCACCACUGGAUCCAGCACUGGCUACAGCAUGAUCCCCUCUCCACCAUCCUACAACAAACUCCUGCUUCCCCACCACCCCAUCCCCGCCACACACAGGGAUGACCCAACACCCUCCACCUCUACCAGCUACCCCUCACCGCUGGCCACCUCCUACACCAGGAUUGCACCUCUUGGCCAAAGUGGGCCUGCGCCUGAUGCCUCCAGCAGCCUGACACCCUCCUCAUGUCACGGUUGCAGCGGCGUCGGCCUCGUGCUGUUCGGCGCAGGGCUUGUGAGCACAGCCUUGUUGCAAACCCUGCUGGAAGAAGCUGGCUGCUGCCUGCUCUACGUGGUGGAGGAUCAGCUGGAGGAGGUGGAACGAGCCUUUGGUGCCAAGGUCCCGGCUGGCACCAGGGUGCUGCGGCAGCAGGAGGCCACCAUCGCACUCAGUGAUCCACGAGUUUCUGGAGCCGUUAUUUGUUCCCCACCUGACAGAGCCCCUGAGAUGGUAAAGGUGUGUUCUGUGAGGGGCUGCCCAGCUUGGACAGACAGACAGCAGAAGCCUGUUUUGAUGAGGCCGACAGGUGUGGGAGGCCACUCGUGUGUGGGUUCUACAAGCGCUUUGACCCAGCCCUGCAGUUCCUGUACAAGAAGGUUCGGGACAGCCGGGCCCUGGGCAGCAUCCACAGGAUAUCAACCAUCAGCAGCCUCUAUCCUGCAGCCUCUCUGAGCCUGCUGAAAGCCUCAGGUGGAAUUUUUUACAAUGCUGCCGUGCAUGACAUAGAUAUUAUCAGUUUGCUGUUGGGAGAGAGUGUGCCAGAUACAAUAUUUUCCCUGGGCCAUGCCUUCUGUGCAGGUAAGAAUGAGUCUUUUGAUGGUUUUUUGGGUACCUCUGGAGUUCAGGGUUAAAACUAGAAAGGAAGAAGGAACAAGAGCAUUAUAGCCAUGGCAAUUGUUGCAUCAUGGAGCAGCUGAAUUAACAGGCUGGUGGAACAGAAGGCAGGUUCUUUGGGGGUAUUUGGUGAAGAUCUCUGAAUCUGGUGAAUCUCCUGCUGAUGUGAAGCAGUUGCAGUGGAGUUAUCAUUGAACACGACUCUGCAGGACACCAGAUUUGGAAACCAGAGUGCAGAAAAUACUGAGCUAAGGUUUGAGCUCACAAGAAUGUCAAUGAAAUGUUCGUUCUCUGCUUUCUCUGGCCCUUCCCUGUGGAUCCCAGCACAAAGCUGUGCAUUUGCUCUGGGUUAUGUUGGGCUGAUGUGCACACUCUGGGUUACCACACUCAUUUAAACCAACCAUAAAAGGUGGAAGCUGCCAUUUUUGAAAUGGAAAUGCAGAGUUUUAAUUAAGGAAAUUGCAGCAGCUGCCAAGCUUGGCUGGCUGGGGUGAGGAGGGGCAGGAUGCAAUGCUCUUUUCCGUGGCACACAUUGAAAUGCAGCAAACAAGAGCCCUCCAGGAGGGUUCUGUACCCUCUGCCUUGCUCCAGCAACGUGCUGGAAGUUCCCUGAUCCUGGAAGAACAAGUGGGUGCCCUCAUUAGAGAGCUACAGGCUGGGAAGGUGGAGUUGGGCCUGGGGAUGUGUGUUCCUGCAGAACUGCCUGUGUUCCAUCAGGAAUGCUGGUGAAGCAGCUGGGGUGCUGUGGGAAGCUGUCACAAAGCCAGUGUCACCUCCCAGAGGAAGAACAGCAGUUUGUAGCUGUAGAACUUGCUGGUUUGCUGUUCCUGGGGUGAGCCAGGCCUGUUUUGUCCCC